AUUGAACGCUGGCGGCAGGCCUAACACAUGCAAGUCGAACGGUGACAGGAAGAAGCUUGCUUCUUUGCUGACGAGUGGCGGACGGGUGAGUAAUGUCUGGGAAACUGCCUGAUGGAGGGGGAUAACUACUGGAAACGGUAGCCAAUACCGCAUAAUGUCGCAAGACCAAAGAGGGGGACCUUCGGGCCUCUUGCCACCGGAUGUGCCCAGAUGGGAUUAGCUAGUAGGUGGGGUAACGGCUCACCUAGGCGACGAUCCCUAGCUGGUCUGAGAGGAUGACCAGCCACACUGGAACUGAGACACGGUCCAGACUCCUACGGGAGGCAGCAGUGGGGAAUAUUGCACAAUGGGCGCAAGCCUGAUGCAGCUAUGCCGCGUGUAUGAAGAAGGCCUUCGGGUUGUAAAGUACUUUCAGCGGGGAGGAAGGGAGUAAAGUUAAUACCUUGGCUCAUUGACGUUACCCGCAGAAGAAGCACCGGCUAACUCCGUG
rnacentral:rRNA from 1 species